UUAAUUGAAACCAAAAUAGAGGUAUAUUAUUGUUAAUAAUAAAAUUAUAAAAUUUAUCAAUUAUU
rnacentral:tRNA from 1 species